AUUGAACGCUGGCGGCAGGCUUAACACAUGCAAGUCGAGCGGAGAGAGGUAGCUUGCUACUGAUCUUAGCGGCGGACGGGUGAGUAAUGCUUAGGAAUCUGCCUAUUAGUGGGGGACAACAUUUCGAAAGGAUUGCUAAUACCGCAUACGUCCUACGGGAGAAAGCAGGGGAUCUUCGGACCUUGCGCUAAUAGAUGAGCCUAAGUCGGAUUAGCUAGUUGGUGGGGUAAAGGCCUACCAAGGCGACGAUCUGUAGCGGGUCUGAGAGGAUGAUCCGCCACACUGGGACUGAGACACGGCCCAGACUGCUACGGGAGGCAGCAGUGGGGAAUAUUGGACGAUGGGCGCAAGCCUGAUCCAGCCAUGCCGCGUGUGUGAAGAAGGCCUUAUGGUUGUAAAGCACUUUAAGCGAGGAGGAGGCUACUUUAGAUAAUACCUAGAGAUAGUGGACGUUACUCGCAGAAUAAGCACCGGCUAACUCUGUGCCAGCCGCCGCUGUAAUAC
rnacentral:rRNA from 1 species